UACGUAGGGUGCGAGCGUUAAUCGGAAUUACUGGGCGUAAAGGGCGCGUAGGCGGUUUGAUAAGUUUGGUGUGAAAGCCCUGGGCUUAACCUAGGAAUAGCAUUGAAUACUGUCAGACUAGAGACCGAGAGAGGAAAAUGGAAUUGCGAGUGUAGAGGUGAAAUUCGUAGAUAUUCGCAAGAACACCAGUGGCGAAGGCGAUUUUCUGGCUCGGUACUGACGCUAAGGCGCGAAAGCGUGGGGAGCAAACAGG
rnacentral:rRNA from 1 species